rnacentral:rRNA from 1 species
AACGAACGCUGGCGGCGUGUUUAAGACAUGCAAGUCGCACGGAACCAAAUUGGUAGUAAUACUCGUUUGGUUCAGUGGCGCACGGGUGAGUAACACGUGAAUUACAUGCCCUUCAGUGGGGAAUAGCCCAGGGAAACUUGGAUUAAUACCCCAUGGUAUCGCAAGAUUAAAGGUGGCCGCAAGGCUGUCGCUGAAGGAUU